ensembl:lncRNA
UACUGGGCAAAAACCAUGAUAUGUCACAGGUUACUACUGGCAACAGUAAUGCCCUGCAGAAUAAGUAUCUGGUUAGAUACUGUAUUUCUAUUCUAUUUAGGACCGAGUAGAGUAACCUCAGUUUUAUCUGAAUUUAGAAGCAUAAAAUUUGAAGAUGAUCCCAUGGUGGUUGGGCUCAUCUCUGAUGGAGAUGAGACAGUGUACAGGGUGGAGGCAGAGAAUUUGUCCUGCUGGUGCUCACAAAAUAACCUGAAGCUGAACGUCCUUAAAACCAAUGAACUCAUAAUGGACUUCAGGAGGCACAGACAGGUCCACUCCCCUCUCAUUAUAAAUGGUGAACUGGUGGGAUCGGUCCCCACGUUCAGGUUUCUGGGCAUCUCCACUGUACUCUCCUGGACCCACAACACCAUCACCCUUGUGGCUGAACGUCCUCCAUGUCCUGAGAAAGAAUAACCUGGACUCGAAGCUGCUGCUGGUCUUCUACCGCUCCUCAGUGGAGAGCAUGCUCUCCUCAUGCCUGGGUGUUUGGUACGCAGGGGCCACGACUUAGAACAGGAAGGCUGCACAGAGGGUAAUUAACACCGCCCCAAAAAAACCACCAAAAAAAAAACAACAACCAAAAAACACAUUGUCUGCCCUCUGCCACCCCUGGAGGCCAUUACCAGAUCCUCCUGUCUCAGGAAAACCAGGGCCAUCACAGGUGACCCCUAGCACCCCAGCCACAACAGGCAUUAGACACAUUAGAUGUUGUGCAGUUUGCAGUAAAUGGUGUGCCAGAGAGUUUGAAAUUCCCAUUUGUGACUUAUUUAAAUGUUGUUGGCUUCUUGAAAGUGAAAGUCUUACAAAAUGCACAUUCCAUAAGGCCAGCAAAAAAACAACAACAAAAAAAAAAAAAAAAAAAAAAAAAAAAAAAAAAACCUCCUGUUCACAACUGUCAGUCAGAAAACUGACACUGUGCCUCUUUGUAACAUCCUCAGGCUCCUUUUUCCAGUCAUUGAUUCUGCUCUGAAUAUUUCUCCAUCUUCUUGUAUUAAUAGUUCUUCAGAAAGAUUUUUGCAGUUUUUUUAAUCAAUAAGAUAAAAUGGCUUUGAUCUAUGAUGGCCCUGCCUUCACCUGCUCUUCUGUCUUUGAUAAGUUUGAGCCUGUGUUUUGAUCAGGUGGAGAAACUAUGAAAAUGGCCUGAUGAUCUUGUCUAAAUGAUGUUGUUUCAGCUCUUUAAAACACUGAAACUGCACAUUUAAAAGUGGUGACUCAGCUGUUCUUUUGCUUUUGGAUCUGACAGUUUGAUACUGUUGACUACAGCAUGUUGCUCUCACGAGUGGAGCAUUGCACCAUUAAGGGCAUUCUACUAGAGUGGUUCAGGUCAUACCUGUGUGACAGGAGUUUUUCUGUGAACUUUGGAGAUUUUACAUCUUCAUCAUUCCCCCUUAUUUGUGGAGUUCCUCAGGGAUCUAUAUUGGGGCCAAUUUUAUUAUCUGUUUAUAUGCUGGCUCUAGGUCUAAUUUUCGUAAAAUAUCAAGUUUGUUUCAAUUCGUACGCUGAUGACACUCAGAUCUAUCUUCAACUGAAGGGAUGGUGUUCUGCUCCACUAGAACCCUUACUUCCGUGCCUGGAUAGCCUCCAAAUUGCUUAAUAAAAACUGAAGUGAUAAUGUUUGAACCAUGUGAGCAAUAUUUCAUAUUGAUAUAAGUUAUUUUGUACUCCUGUAAAGCACUUUGAUCAACGUUCCUGUUGUAAUUACAUGUUUGAACUUUAACUGAACAGAUUCCACAGACAGACAUUUCACACUUUACUUUAAAAACCAGCCCCUUAAUACUACUUUUAAACCAUUUGUGGAAAA